GGGGAAUCCAUGAUAAUAGUGAUGAAAUAACUUAAACAACAUUUGAGAAACAGUGAUGUGUAAAUCAUGAGAUCUUGUGAUUGCAUCCCAAAACAGAUUAAGAUAAUUCAUAAAUGUAAGCAAAUCAAAUGUAAUUUUUCUUUUGAGGAACUCCAAAAAAUGCAGAAGAAAAUCAUCAACAAAAAAAACAAAAGACUACCUCUCUGCAAUAACUUUAAGAAGCACAUCUGUGGAAUAAAGAUCCUUAACAACAAACUCCUCCAAACAGCCAGCACUCCGAUCAAAAGAAGAUAAUCCGAUAUUCUUCAAAUUGCAUCCCGGAAAUAAAUCCCCCCUUAAAUGCAAACGUCGCCAUAGUCGAGGUUCCUGUGCAAGUUUCCGCCAUUGUCGGCAAACAGACUGUACCGACACGAAUAAACACACUGUAUCGAUCCUAUCGAAUAUCUCCCGAAGAACAUCCCACGACAGAUCCGCCCAAUCCCGAAAGUCCGGAUCAUCCAUCCCUAAGUUUGAAAAAGAGCUUCUAGUUCAAAUAAAAAGAAACAGACGUAUUAAUAAACCUCAACGUCGUUCAGAUGAUGAAGUUGAAUAUGCAAACCGGAGAGCAGCAGAUUCCGACGAGUUUCCAGUGUUCACUGAAAGAGGCUCGGAAAGCAGCAGAUCGACAACGACUUAGGGUUUUAGCAGUAAUUGAUUAAAAAAUUUCAAUUUUUUAAUGUGUUUUUACAUUCAACUCCUUUUAGUUUUCAGUAUUAUGGAAAAUAGUACCAAUCUCUUUUAAACUUUAGAGAUACCUUCGUCCUUCAUGAUUAGAAGAAUCUUUGUUAGAAUCAUGGAAAAGAGAAUCUUGAUAAGAAUCAUCACUCAAUUAAUGUAUUUUUUAUUUAAAAAGAAAAAUAACGAUAAUUAUUAAUUAACAUUCAAAAAAUAUUAAACAUAAAACUAGCAAAAAAUAAAGAUGCGAUUAAAAUGAUAUAUGAAUCAAUAGAGUUCGAAGAUGGUUAAAUUUUUUGAAAAAACCCUAAUUUUCCGAGAAUUUAACUCGGCAAAUCAGUAAAAUAGGAAACAACAGAGAGAGAUUAACUCAACUAAUCAUAAAACGACCGUUAUUAUUACGGUUUCUGAGAGUUUCGAAUCUGUUUUGAUUGAUAUUGAUUGUAUUCUUUGACAAAUAUCAACAGAGCUCAAUAUUGUUAUAAUAGCCAUCAUUAGGAGGAAAAAAAAAAUCAGAAUUUGAAUAUGCAUAAUAAUCAGAAUCGGAAUAAUGAUUAUUAUGAUUAGAAUAAUCAGCAUCAUCUGAAAUCCCAUGUCUGUUGUAAUCAGCAUCAUAAUCAACAUACAUAUUGAUCAGAUAGUUGUAAUAUUUCACCUGAACUUUGUCCAAUUUACUUUUCAGAUUUUCUCCAAUCAUACGAUGGCGACAAUUCUGGAUAUAAAUAAUUUCAAGACCGGGACAUUGAUCAAGAAUUUCAAGCAAGCCUUUAUCACUGAGCUGAACCUCAACCAUUUUUAAUUUUUGCAUAUCAUACAUGGAAUAGGCUAUGUAAAAUGCCUGAGAGUUGUUAGCUCGACCUCUUAAUCGACCAUUACGAUAACCGAAAGCUUUCAAAUUUUCGCAUGCAUCACCGAUAGUUUCAAUUGAAUAGCGAUUUAAGUAUAAACUACAUUCUGAGACAUCAAGAACUUCCAAUGCUAGAAAUGCAUUACAAGCUUCAGAAAAAUCAUUCUCACUCAUAUUUCCACAAUAACUUUCAAGAACAAGUACUUUCAGCUCUGGAACUUCAUAUUGUUAAACGAUGGACACGCGAAAUCCGGCGACCUUGGCUCGCCGGACGGGGAACAAUCAGACUAAAAGAGGGAUGGAAUCAGAGUUACUCGAACUACCUAAUUCCUUUUCCGUUAACACUGUAGUAAAGCAAUUAGUGUUAACUGUAUCAUUAACUCUGUAAAUUGUAUUAUUAAAUCAAACUUAUACUUCUGUAUUAAUAGUCAUGUUUACAUUAACUAAUUAGUAGCUAAUACAACAUUAACUAAACUAACUAUAUUAACUGGAUCUUUAAUUGGGUAGCCGUCCGGAUCCGUUAGCCCGAUCCCUCUUAUUUAAUGGAUAGAAUUGCAGUUAAGUCCUCGUACUCUUUUGUAAUUCUCGAGUGUUUUUAAGUGGUUAAAGUUGCACUCUUGCCCUCGUACUUUUUCAUAUUUACCGAUUACCUUUAAGUGGUGAAUUUUGCCUCUUUGACCUUGCAGUUUCUUCUCUUAGUCAAAAUGUCACAACCUUAUGUUCUGUUUAAAUACACAUAGAUUCAGUUCAGUAAGUGUUUGAUUUAAUCAUCUUCAGAUUACUCUUUUAAUCCAGUAAUCUUCUGAUCACUCUUUUACAUACCACCUGUGAUGAAAGUAAAAUAACUUAAACAACAUUUGAAAAACAGUGAUGUGUAAAUCAUGAGAUCUUGUGAUUGCAACACAAAACAGAUUAAGAUAAUUCAUAAAUGUAAGCAAAUCAAAUGUAGUUUUUAUUUUGAGGAAAUCCGAAAAAUGCAGAAAAUCAUCAGCAAACAAAAAAAAAUACCUCAGUGGUGCCAUAACUUUAAAAAGAGCAUCUGUGGAAUCAAAAUCCUUAGCAACAAACUCCUCCAAACAACCAACACUCCGAUCAAAAGCAGCUAAUCCAAUAUUCUUCGAAUUGCAGCCUGGAAACAAAUCCCCCCUUAAAUGCAGACGUCGCCAUAGCUGAGGUUCCUGUGCGAGUUUGCGCAAUUCUCGGCAAACAGACUCUCUAUUGGAAUUAUAGAACAUCGUCGUCAUCAGAAUCUCCAUAGACCUCACUGCCAUCAUUAGAAUAUACAUAGACCUCACUGCCAUCAUCAGAAUCUUCAUAGGGCUCAUUGCCAUCAUCAUAAUAAUUAGAAUAAUCAGAAUAAACAGAACCAGAAUUUGAAUAAUAAGAAUCAGAAUAAUCAGCAUCAUCUGAAACUCCAUGUCUGUUGUAAUCAGCAUCAUAAUCAACAUACAUGCUGAGCAAAUAGUUGUAAUAUUUCACCUGAACUGUGUCCAAUUUAGUUUUCAGAUAUUCUCCAAUCAUAAGGUGGGGACAAUUCCGGAUAUAAAUGAUUUUAAGGUUGGGGCAUUGAUCAAGAAUUUCAAGCAAGCCUUCAUCAUCGAGCUGAUCUCCAACCAUUUUUAAUUUUUGCAGAUCAUGCAUGUCGGCUAUGAAAGAUGCAGAAGAGUUGUCUGCUGGACCUCUCACCUGACUACUACAAAAACUGAAAGCUUUCAAAUUUUGACAUGUAUCCCGGAUAGUUUCAAUUGAAUAACAAUCCAAGCUCAAGCUGCAUUCUGAGACAUCAAGAACUUCCAAUGUUGGAAAUGAAUUACAAGCUUCAAUUAAAUCAAUCUCAGCGAUAUCAUCAUCUCCACAAUAACCUUCAAGAACAAGUACUUUCAGCUCUGCAGCUUCAGACCUCCUGAGGGGGGGGGGGAAUCCAUGAUAAUAGUGAUGAAAUAACUUAAACAACAUUUGAAAAACAGUGUUGUGUAAAUCAUGAGAUCUUGCAAAAAAAAUGUAAUUUUUCUUUUGAGCAGAAAAUCAUCAACAAAAAAAAACACAAAAGACUACCUCUCUGCAAUAACUUUAAGAAGCACAUCUGUGGAAUAAAGAUCCUUAGCAACAAACUCCUCCAAACAGCCAGCACUCCGAUCAAAAGAAGAUAAUCCGAUAUUCUUCAAAUUGCAUCCCAGAAAUAAAUCCCCCCUUAAAUGCAAACGUCGCCAUAGUCGAGGUUCCUGUGCAAGUUUCCGCCAUUGUCGGCAAACAGACUGUACCGACACGAAUAAAGAAACUGUAUCGAUCCUAUCGAAUAUCUGACGAAGAACAUCCCACGACAGAUCCGCCCAAUCCCGAAAGUCCGGAUGAUCC
rnacentral:lncRNA from 1 species